rnacentral:rRNA from 1 species
AACGAACGCUGGCGGCGUGGAUAAGACAUGCAAGUCGAACGGGAUAACAUCUGUAGCAAUACAGGUGUUAUUUAGUGGCGAACGGGUGCGUAACACGUGGGCAAUCUGCCGAGAAGUGGGGGAUAGCUCGCCGAAAGGCGAAUUAAUACCGCAUAUGAUCAGUGAAGACAUCUUCACGACAUCAAAGCCGGGGCAACCUGGCGCUUCUUGAUGAGCCCGCGGCCUAUCAGCCAGUUGGUGAGGUAACGGCUCACCAAGGCUAUGACGGGUAGCUGGUCUGAGAGGACGACCAGUCACACUGGAACUGAGACACGGUCCAGACACCGUACGGGUGGCAGCAGUCGAGUAAUUUUCUCAA